rnacentral:rRNA from 1 species
GAGUAGAGGUGAUAAACCUACCGAGCCCAGUUAUAGCUGGUUGCCUGAGAAAUGAAUAGAAGUUCAGCCCUUUAAACCUUUCCCGACCCACAAUGCUUUACGCUUAAAUAGGUUAAGGAAGCUAAAGGAGUUAAUCAGAAGGGGUACAGCCCUUCUGAUAAAAGAAACAACUUUAACAGGUGUCUCAAGAUCAUAUUAAUUAAGGACUUUAAAUUAAGUGGGCCUAAGAGCAGCCAUCUUAACAGAAAGCGUUAAAGCUCAAAUUAAACACCACCCGCACAUACUGAUAUCUCAUCUCCCUCCCUGCUUUUUACCAGGCUAUCCUAUGCCUCCAUAGGAACAAUUAUGCUAAAAUGAGUAAUAAGAAGAAUAUGUUCUUCUCCAAGCACACGUGUAAGUCGGAACGGACCCCCCACCGACUAUUAACCGACCCCAAACCCAGAGGGACAUAAGUUAUUUCAACAAGAAAACCACUUAUUUUAAACCGUUAACCCUACACAGGUGUGCCCCAAGGAAAGACUAAAAGAGAAGGAAGGAACUCGGCAAACACAAGCCUCGCCUGUUUACCAAAAACAUCGCCUCUUGUCCCCAAAAUAUAAGAGGUCCCGCCUGCCCUGUGACUAUAUGUUUAACGGCCGCGGUAUCUUAACCGUGCGAAGGUAGCGUAAUCACUUGUCUUUUAAAUGAAGACCUGUAUGAAUGGCAUCACGAGGGCUUAACUGUCUCCCCUCUCCAGUCAAUGAAAUUGACCUCCCCGUGCAGAGGCGGGGAUAUUUCUAUAAGACGAGAAGACCCUGUGGAGCUUUAGACCUAAAGUAAACCACGUUUAAUGUACUAAAAUUAAUAGCAAAAACUUAGUGGACAUUUAUUUAAGUGUCUUUGGUUGGGGCGACCGCGGAGUAAAACACAACCUCCAUGUGGACGGGGAUACUUUCCCUAAAACUCAGAGCCUCCACUCCAAGCAACAGAAAUUAUGACCUUACUGAUCCGGUACAACCGAUUAACGAACCCAGUUACCCCAGGGAUAACAGCGCAAUCCCCUCUCAGAGCUCAUAUCGACGAGGGGGUUU